rnacentral:lncRNA from 1 species
AUGGUUGGAUUAGAAGAUAUGAGGUAUUGAAGUUUAAAAAAAUUUCUAUAUAAGGAUAUACAAGAUUUUAGAAGAUUUUAUCAUGUUUUGGAUGUUAUUGGUUACUUGAGGCUUAUGUAUUUAGUGUAAUUGCUCCAAAAAGGGAAAUUUUAUAUAUAAACUUAGGGCUUCCAUUAUUUUGAAGCUUGAUUGAAUAAUUAGUGAUAGCGAGGAGUCCAAUGCUUUCUUGAGGGAAAUUCUUUUUACCCCGACAAUGGGAUAAAUAAGGUAUUAAGAGAUUUU